rnacentral:sRNA from 1 species
GCGCUAUUUAGGGGGGAGGGCAAGGGUGGGAGAAGCUAGGGGGGGGAUGCGAAGGCGAGAGAAAGAGAGCGAGGAAAAAUGGGAAGGGCGAGAAAGAAAUAGCUAUUUCCUUCUCGCCCCUUCCAUUUUUCCUCGCUCUCUUUCUCUCGCCUUCGCAUCCCCCCUAGCUCCUCCCACCCUCGCCCUCCCCCCUAAAUAGCGC